UUUGACCCAGUACGCGAGUUGGUCGCGUGCCUUCAUCAGCGCGUAGUCGCCAUCCAUGAUCACGUCGAUAGCG
rnacentral:lncRNA from 1 species